UGUAACCUCUUUACUCAAGGAAGAAGAUCUGACGGUACUUGAGAAUAAGCCACGGCUAAUUCCGUGCCAGCAGCCGCGGUAAUACGGGAGAGGCAAGCGUUAUCCGGAAUUAUUGGGCGUAAAGCGUCCGCAGGCGGCCUUGUAAGUCUGUCGUUAAAGCGUGGAGCUUAACUCCAUUUCAGCGAUGGAAACUACAAGGCUUGAGUGUGGUAGGAGCAGAGGGAAUUCCCGGUGUAGCGGUGAAAUGCGUAGAGAUCGGGAAGAAGC
rnacentral:rRNA from 1 species